GUGAACAGAGGAUUUUUUAUCGUGUCAGAAGUGACUUGAGAACAUACUACAAGUCUCUUCUGAUGUAAGAGAAUUGGCCGUCUACAGAGAUGUUGACCAGGGGAUGGCUGGAUGUGUUAGCUGGGAGGUUUCUCUCAUGUCUCCACAAGCUAUAGCUGACAGAUGGGAGCUCACCCUGUCUCACGGAUUCAAACCUGCAACCUUUAGGUCAGCAACCCAACCUUCAGAUCAGCAGUCAGCCAGCACAAGAAUUUGAUGAGGGAAAACCUUAAUCCAGAUAAGACAGAGGUGCUUGGUGCUUCUGGUCCGUCGAAGGCAGAUCUUUUGUAUGCUGAUGAUGCAAUGCUCUGGUCUUUGACAAGUGCUGGUCUCAAAACAACUCUUGCUACCGAAAUGAUUUGUUCUCGAUUACUUCUUAGGCUGAAGAUUUAGCAGAUACAGCCUGCUGUUAUGUUUGAAGAUCCCCUGCUGUUGGCAGAAGUGGACUUGAGCUUUAGCUGCUGGGAGAAAUAUCGAACCCCAACCGGAUCCUGAAGAAGCCGUUCAAAUGAAACAGCCCAGCUUGCAACUCUUCUUUCACGAUGCCGGCGGCAGCUCUGAACACUUGGGAGGCUGGCAUUGCUGCUGAGGCUGUUAUCAC